AAGAGAAUCUUGCAUCCAUC
rnacentral:snRNA from 1 species